UAUGUAUUUGGAUUAUCAAAGUUGGGAUAACAAUGUAGAUAUGAGUUGGGUCAAUGUGAGAUGACUUGUAAGUUGUGGGAGUUGACGUAAUACAAUAGGAGUGAAAGGGUGUAAGUGUUAUUUGUGCUAUAUAAGUCAAAAAAAAUGGGGCAGGAAACCAUUUUUUUUCACUUUCCCUUUUCUUUUUUUUUCUCUUCUCUGGCGUCUCUCUCUCUCUCGGCUCUCACCUCUCUCACCUUCUCUCUUCGAUUUCAUCGACCACGAGUGAGACUUUUGAAAAAUCCCAAGUACUAAAGUUGUUCUACGCGACGAGAGCUUCCUAUCCAUCGAAGAAAAUUCACGAUCGGAGCACUUCGAAGUUUCCUCCAUAUUCGGGCUUGCUUCUAACCCUCGAGGUACUUGUCAUGACACGUAGCUUGGAUUGCAUGGAGUGCACAUUGAGACGUCUCUUGAGCGCUUCAUUGGAACCUUUAAGGAGUGGUUUAUCAUCAAGUUUGAUUCAUGUCAUGUACUUUACUUGCAAUUGAAGGUUGUAUCUUUUGAUUAGAUCAUAUGUAAAGCUAUGUACAAACUCCUCUCCUUGAUGAUUAUGAAACCCAUUUAAGUGUAAACGUUUGGGAGACUUUAUGUAAAAAAAAAAAAAAAAAAAAAUUUAGAGAGAAGAAGAAGCGACUUGAUUUGCUGUUUGGUUUUA